GCCCCCUUAGCUCAGUUGGUUAGAGCUACGGACUUUUAAUCCGCAGGUCGAGGGUUCGAGUCCCUCAGGGGGUA
rnacentral:tRNA from 3 species